AUUGAACGCUGGCGGCAUGCUUUACACAUGCAAGUCGAACGGCAACAGGCUGCAAGGUUCUUCCUAGUGGCGACCGGUUGCGUACUGCUUCGGAACACGCCCAAACCUGGGUUAUAACUGCUCGUAACGUUAGCUAAUACCCCAUACUACCUCAUACUGCAUGCGGGUGAACGUAAGGCCUCUUCCGAUUUUGCCCGCCGAUGUCAGAUUAGGUAGUUGGUGGGGUAAAGGCUCACCAAGCCCACGAUCUGUAGCUGGUCUGAGAGGACGACCAGCCACACUGGGACUGAGACACGGCCCAGACUCCUACGGGAGGCAGCAGUGGGGAAUUUUGGACAAUGGGCGCAAGCCUGAUCCAGCAAUGCCGCGUGCAGGAAGAAGGCCUUCGGGUUGUAAACUGCUUUUGUACGGAACGAAAAGGAGCUGGUUAAUACCCGGGGGUAAUGACGGUACCGAAAGAAUAAGCACCGGCUAACUACGUG
rnacentral:rRNA from 1 species